GUGCUCGCUUUUGCAGCACAUACACUAAAAUCAGAACAAUACAGAGAAGAUUUGCGUGGUCCCUGCACAAGGAUGACAUGCAAAUUUGUGAAGCGUUCCAUAAUUAA
rnacentral:snRNA from 1 species